GGGCCUGUAGCUCAGUUGGUUAGAGCGCACGACUGAUAAUCGUGAGGUCGAUGGUUCGAAUCCAUCUAGGCCCA
rfam:Desulfosporosinus sp. I2 contig00295, whole genome shotgun sequence.